AGAAAGUAAGCAAGGGCAGACGGUGGAUGCCUUGGCUCUCGGAGGCGACGAAGGACGUGAUAAGCUGCGAAAAGCCCGGGGGAGGCGCAAAUAGCCCUUGAUCCCGGGAUAUCCGAAUGGGGCAACCCGGCAGGCUGAAGGCCUGUCAUCCCGUAAGGGAGGCGAACGUGGGGAACUGAAACAUCUAAGUACCCAUAGGAGGAGAAAAUAAACAAUGAUUCCGUAAGUAGUGGCGAGCGAACACGGAAGAGCCCAAACCCAUGUCGUCUAGGCGACACGGGGGUUGUAGGACCACGACGUGGCAAGAUAGAGUCAAGUGGAACGCCUUGGAAAAGGCGGUCAUAGAGGGUGAAAACCCCGUACACGACUGACGAUUGAAGCCUAGUGGCAUCCUGAGUAGCGCGGGGCACGAGAAAUCUUGCGUGAAACAGCGGGGCCCAUCCCGUAAGGCUAAAUACUCCCGAGAGACCGAUAGCGAACCAGUACCGUGAGGGAAAGGUGAAAAGAACCCCGAGCAGGGGAGUGAAAUAGACCCUGAACCCGUCUGCCUACAAGCGGUCGGAGCAUAGCAAUAUGUGACGGCGUGCCUUUUGCAUAAUGAACCUACGAGUUACCUUCCCCGGCAAGGUUAAGUACCUAAGGUACGGAGCCGAAGCGAAAGCGAGUCUGAAGAGGGCGGCCAGUCGGGGGGGUAGACGCGAAACCGAGUGAUCUACCCUUGGCCAGGUUGAAGGUUGGGUAACACCAACUGGAGGACCGGAUGGGUAAGCGUUGAAAAGCUUUCCAAUGAGCUGAGGGUAGGGGUGAAAGGCUAAUCAAACUCGGAGAUAGCUCGUACUCCCCGAAAUGCAUUUAGGUGCAGCCUCUUUAUAGUAUAUCGUGAGGUAGAGCGACUGAUUGGAUGCGAGGGCUUCACCGCCUAUCAAGUCCAGAUAAACUCCGAAUGCGCGAUAUAUAUUUAAAGGGAGUGAGGGCGCGGGUGCUAAGGUCCGUGUCCGAGAGGAGAAGAAUCCAGACCACCGGCUAAGGCCCCCAAAUGAUCGUUGAGUUGAACUAACGAGGUCGGAUCGCAGAGACAGCUAGGAUGUUGGCUUGGAAGCAGCCAUUCAUUUAAAGAGUGCGUAACAGCUCACUAGUCGAGCGAUCUGGCGUGGAUAAUAAUCGGGCAUAAACGAUCUGCCGAAGCCGUGGAUGUCGUAAGACAUGGUAGGGGAGCAUUCCAUGCGGCGUCGAAGAUGAGGGAUGACCCUUGUUGGAGCGCAUGGAAAAGCAAAUGUAGGUAUGAGUAACGAUAAGGGGGGCGAGAAACCCCCCCGCCGAAAGACCAAGGUUUCCUGAUCAACGCUAAUCGGAUCAGGGUGAGUCGGGACCUAAGGCCAAGCCGAACGGCGACGCCGAUGGAAGAAUGGGUUAAUAUUCCCAUACUGCCUCAUGGAGUGACGUGGAGACGGAGAAGUGACAGUCCUGCCGGCUGACGGAAUAGCCGGUUGAAGGGUGUAGAUAUUGAUUCCCGUAGGCAAAUCCGCGGGGAGAGUCGAACCUGACAGUAUACCGAGUACUUGUACGAGGUAAUAUGGACGUAACCAUGCUCCCAAGAAAAUCCGCUAAACUUAUCCAUGCGGCACCCGUACCGUAAACGGACACACGUGGUCGGGUUGAGAAUACUGAGGCGCUCGAGUGACUCACGGUUAAGGAACUAGGCAAAUUGACCCUGUAACUUCGGGAUAAAGGGUCCUCGUCGUAAGGCGAGGCGCAGAGAAUAGGUCCAGGCAACUGUUUAACAAAAACACAUGGCUGUGCUAAAUGGAAACAUGACGUAUACAGCCUGACACCUGCCCGGUGCUGGAAGGUUAAGAGGAGAUGUCAUCGCAAGAGAAGCGUUGAAUUGAAGCCCCAGUAAACGGCGGCCGUAACUAUAACGGUCCUAAGGUAGCGAAAUUCCUUGUCGGGUAAGUUCCGACCUGCACGAAUGGUGUAAUGAUCUGGACACUGUCUCAACCGUGAGCUCGGUGAAAUUGUAGUAUCGGUGAAGAUGCCGAUUACCCGCGAUGGGACGAAAAGACCCCGUGAACCUUUACUAUAGCUUUACAUUGAAUUUGGGCAGACGAUGUGUAGGAUAGGCCGGAGGCUUUGAAGGGGGUACGCCAGUAUCCUUGGAGCCGCCGUUGAAAUACGGCCCUUCGGUUGUUUGAGUUCUAACUCCCGGAUGGGAGGACACUGUAUGGUGGGUAGUUUGACUGGGGUGGUCGCCUCCAAAAGCGUAACGGAGGCUUCUAAAGGUGCCCUCAGACCGAUUGGUAACCGGUCGCAGAGUGUAAUGGCAUAAGGGCGCUUGACUGGGAGAGAUACAACUCGAUCAGGUAGGAAACUAGAGCAUAGUGAUCCGGUGGUUCCGCAUGGAAGGGCCAUCGCUCAAAGGAUAAAAGGUACUCCGGGGAUAACAGGCUGAUCAUUCCCAAGAGCUCAUAUCGACGGAAUGGUUUGGCACCUCGAUGUCGGCUCGUCACAUCCUGGGGCUGGAGAAGGUCCCAAGGGUUGGGCUGUUCGCCCAUUAAAGUGGCACGCGAGCUGGGUUCAGAACGUCGUGAGACAGUUCGGUCUCUAUCUAUCGUGGGCGCAGGAGAUUUGAGGGGCUCUGACACUAGUACGAGAGGACCGUGUUGGACGUACCACUGGUUUACCGGUUGUCCCGCCAGGGGCACCGCCGGGUAUCUAAGUACGGAUCGGAUAAGUGCUGAAAGCAUCUAAGUACGAAGCCGGCCUCAAGAUUAGAUCUCCCUCAAGGGUGGUUAUAGACGAUGACCUUGAUAGGCCACAGGUGUAAGGGCGGCGACGUCCGAGCCGAGUGGUACUAAUAGCCCGGGACUUUCCUCA
rnacentral:rRNA from 1 species